UGGCUGGAAUCAUCUGCAUAGGGUCGAAGUACGAUUAUGUGAUGCUUAUUUGGUUUUCUUGAAUUCUGAUAAUGAUGCUUAUUUCACUUUCUUGAGUUCUAAUAAUGAUGCUUAUUUGGCUUUCGUGAAUUCUAAUAACGAUGCUUAUUUGGCCUUCUUGAAUUCUCAUAAUGUUGCUUAUUUUGGUUUCCCUGAAUUCUGAUAAUGACGCUAAGAUGCUUGUUUGGUUUUAAUGAUGCUUAUUUGGUUUUCUUGAAUUCUAAUAAUGAUGCUGAUUUCACUUUCUUGAAUUCUGAUAAUGAUGCUUAUUUGGCUCUCUCGAAUUCUGAUAAUGAUGCUUAUUUUAGUUUUCCUGAAUUCUAAUAUCAAUGCUUAUUUGAUUUUCUUGAAUUCUGAUAAUGAUGCUAAGAUGCUUGUUGGCUCUCUUGAAUUCUAAUAAUGAUGCUUACUUUGGUUUUCUUGAAAUUUGAUAAACGUUGAAUGGAUUCUUGAAUUCUGGUAAUGAAACAUCCAUCAUCAAAAAGAUAAUAAAAGAGGCAACUGUUCUGCUGCUCCAGAAUAAGAUCAGUUUGGAUUGAGCUGAAUCAGAUGUCUGAUUGCAAAAACUGCUUUCUCUUGGACAAAUAAGGGGACAAUCAUCUACUGACUAUUUUAAGAGUGGUCAAAAUGUACAACUGAUAUAUAAUUUCCUUAUAAGAUGGACAAAUAGAUAGAUCACCAAAAAAUUUAAGGUUAUGUUGGACAAAAGGUAAUCAUACAGUAUCAUAUACUAGUUAUUGAAGUUACAUUGGGAGCAAAAUACAAAUAUGAAAGCAUAGAAUGCUUGAGAAUAAGGUGGUGAAACUUAAGUGG
rnacentral:lncRNA from 1 species